CAUUCCGUCUUCCCACUUCUGACCAGCCUUUGACGAACGGGUAUAUAAGGAGGCUUGAAACAUCAGUCCUGCUCAGUUGGCUACGGGACUGCAAGCGAGAAGGAGCUCCCCACUCCUGGACACCUUGACUCAGACAUCAUCGAAGCCUUAUAAGGAGCCACGGAACACUAAUCCAACUCCGUAGGCUCUAGGAUGGCUGGCUUUUCCCCCUACAUCUUCGACCAGCCUUCACCGAAGCGUAUAUAAGAAACUGCGUAACACAAGUGCGGCUCAGUUGGCUCUAAGACCGCGAGUUGGAAGGAGCUCUCUACUUCCUUACGAUGAUCCAGUAUUUUCUGUACCUCCUCUGUACCCAAUCUAAGUGGAAUAAUUUACAUCAUACUA